GGCCCUCUGACUUGUCCUAGGGCCCUGGUAGGGGAUAAGGCCCCAAAGUAGGAAACAGCCAGAGGGAAGAAGUACUUUCUUGCUGGGAGAGCAGCUUGCGCUGGACUUGAGGGAGCUGGGCUGGGACGCGAGGAGAAAAGGCUCUGAGCAUUCCGGCAGCGGAGAAGAAACCAGGGCCCUGGAAGAAUGAAGACUUGCCCUUGGUCAUACAGGACUCUGCAUCCCUGGUGCAGCUGAGAUCCCUGUCCUGCUUGUCUUGACUUUUGCCCAUCUCAGGAGCACUGGUGAGUGGAGUUCAACUCCAGACUCGGUGCUGUGAUCCUUGGUCACUCUGUCAGGCACACAGUAGGUGCUU
rnacentral:lncRNA from 1 species